rnacentral:misc_RNA from 1 species
UUUCCGUAGGUGAACCUGCAGAAGGAUCAUUAAUGAGUUGUCAUGGGGUUCGAUGCUGGCAGCCAAUUUUUGGAUGCAUGUGCUUGCCCUAACAAUCAUCUUCCAAACACCUGUGCACAUUUUUGAGGGAGUCUUGAGUUGGUUGCCGCUCUUGGGUGAUUUUCUCACAUUCCCUUAAAUCAUUAUACGCUAUUAACAAUGUUGAACGUGCUCUGUGCCGCAAGGCUAUUAAUAUAAUACAACUUUUAACAACGGAUCUCUUGGCUCUC